CAGUAGUCACGAGUUUGUCCUGGCUCAGAACGAACGCUGGCGGCAGGCCUAACACAUGCAAGUCGAGCGAUCCUUUCGGGGAUAGCGGCGGACGGGUGAGUAACGCGUGGGAACGUACCCUUUGCUACGGAAUAGCCUCGGGAAACUGGGAGUAAUACCGUAUGUGCCCUUCGGGGGAAAGAUUUAUCGGCAAAGGAUCGGCCCGCGUUGGAUUAGGUAGUUGGUGGGGUAAUGGCCUACCAAGCCGACGAUCCAUAGCUGGUUUGAGAGGAUGAUCAGCCACACUGGGACUGAGACACGGCCCAGACUCCUACGGGAGGCAGCAGUGGGGAAUCUUAGACAAUGGGGGCAACCCUGAUCUAGCCAUGCCGCGUGAGUGAUGAAGGCCCUAGGGUUGUAAAGCUCUUUCAGCUGGGAAGAUAAUGACGGUACCAGCAGAAGAAGCCCCGGCUAUCUCCGUG
rnacentral:rRNA from 1 species